rnacentral:rRNA from 1 species
GAUGAACGCUAGCGGCAGGCCUAACACAUGCAAGUCGAGGGAGGAGCUUUCGGGCUUCGACCGGCGUACGGGUGCGUAACGCGUAUACAAUCUGCCUUUCACAUAGGGAUAGCCCGAAGAAAUUUGGAUUAAUACCUAAUGGUAUAUAGAGGUGGCAUCACCUUUAUAUUAAAGCUGAGGCGGUGAAAGAUGAGUAUGCGUUCUAUUAGCUAGUUGGAGAGGUAACGGCUCCCCAAGGCGACGAUAGAUAGGGGUUCUGAGAGGGAUAUCCCCCACACUGGUACUGAGAUACGGACCAGACUCCUACGGGAGGCAGCAGUGAGGAAUAUUGGACAAUGGUCGGAAGACUGAUCCAGCCAUGCCGCGUGCAGGAAGACGGCCUUAUGGGUUGUAAACUGCUUUUGCAGGGGAAGAAUAAGGACUACGCGUAGUUUGAUGACGGUACUCUGCGAAUAAGCAUCGGCUAACUCCGUG